rnacentral:rRNA from 1 species
GAUGAACGCUGGCGGCGUGCCUAAUACAUGCAAGUCGAGCGAACAGAUGAGGAGCUUGCUCCUCUGACGUUAGCGGCGGACGGGUGAGUAACACGUGGAUAACCUACCUAUAAGACUGGGAUAACUUCGGGAAACCGGAGCUAAUACCGGAUAAUAUAUUGAACCGCAUGGUUCAAUAGUGAAAGACGGUUUUGCUGUCACUUAUAGCUGGAUACGCGCUGCAUUAGCUAGUUGGUAAGGUAACGGCUUACCAAGGCAACGAUGCGUAUCCGACCUGAUGGGGGGAUCGGCCACACGGGAACGGAAACACGGUCAUGACGCCUACGGGAGGCAGCAGUAGGGAAUCUUACGCAAUAGGCGAAAGCCUGACGGAGCAACGCCGCGUGAGUGAUGAAGGUCUUCGGAUCGGAAAACUCUGUUAUUAGGGAAGAACAAAUGUGUAAGUAACUAUGCACGUCUUGACGGUACCUAAUCAGAAAGCCACGGCUAACUACGUG